AGGAUGAACGCUGGCGGCGUGCCUAAUACAUGCAAGUCGAGCGGUAAGGCCCCUUCGGGGGUACACGAGCGGCGGACGGCUGAGUAACACGUAGGAACGUACCCCAAACUGAGGGAUAAGCACCAGAAAUGGUGUCUAAUACCGCAUGUGGUCUUCGGAUUAAAGCUUCGGCGGUUUGGGAACGGCCUGCGCAUGAUUAGCUUGUUGGUGAGGUAAAAGCUUACCAAGGCGACGAUCAUUAGCUGGUCUGAGAGGAUGAUCAGCCAGACUGGGACUGAGAACGGCCCAGACUCCUACGGGAGGCAGCAGUAGGGAAUUUUCCACAAUGGGCGAAAGCCUGAUGGAGCAACGCCGCGUGCAGGACGAAGGCCUUCGGGUUGUAAACUGCUUUUAUAUGUGAAGAUUAUGACGGUAGCAUAUAGAAUAAGGAUCGGCUAACUCCGUGCCAGCAGCCGC
rnacentral:rRNA from 1 species